UGCCAGACUCCUACGGGAGGCAGCAGUGGGGAAUAUUGCACAAUGGGGGAAACCCUGAUGCAGCGACGCCGCGUGAGUGAAGAAGUAUUUCGGUAUGUAAAGCUCUAUCAGCAGGGAAGAAAAUGACGGUACCUGAUUAAGAAGCCCCGGCUAACUACGUGCCAGCAGCCGCGGUAAUACGUAGGGGGCAAGCGUUAUCCGGAUUUACUGGGUGUAAAGGGAGCGUAGACGGCAGUGCAAGUCUGAAGUGAAAGCCCCGGGCUUAACCCGGGAACUGCUUUGGAAACUGUACGGCUGGAGUGCUGGAGAGGUAAGCGGAAUUCCUAGUGUAGCGGUGAAAUGCGUAGAUAUUAGGAGGAACACCAGUGGCGAAGGCGGCUUACUGGACAGUAACUGACGUUGAGGCUCGAAAACGUGGGGAGCAAACAGGAUUAGAUACCCUCGUA
rnacentral:rRNA from 1 species